rnacentral:rRNA from 1 species
CGCAAGCCUGACGGAGCAAGACCGCGUGGGGGAGGAAUGCCUUAGGGUUGUAAACCCCUUUUAUCUGGGAAGAACAAAAUGACGGUACCAGAUGAAUAAGCCUCGGCUAACUCCGUGCCAGCAGCCGCGGUAAUACGGAGGAUGCAAGCGUUAUCCGGAAUCACUGGGCGUAAAGCGUCUGUAGGUGGUUCAGUAAGUCUGUUGUCAAAGAUUAGGGCUCAACCCUAAAUAGGCAGUGGAAACUACUAGACUAGAGCACAGUAGAGGUAGAGGGAAUUCCCAGUGUAGCGGUGAAAUGCGUAGAUAUUGGGAAGAACACCAGUGGCGAAAGCGCUCUACUGGGCUGUUGCUGACACUCAGAGACGAAAGCUAAGGUAGCA